GCGGGUAUGGUGGAAUUGGCAGACACGCAAGAUUUAGGUUCUUGUGCCGCAAGGCAUACAGGUUCGACCCCUGCUACCCGCACCA
rnacentral:tRNA from 1 species